CACGUAGGGGGCGAGCGUUGUCCGAUUUAUGGCGUAAAGAGCUCGUAGGCGGUUUCGUUAAGUCGGGAUGUGAAAACUCCAGGCUCAACCUGGAGACGCCACCCGAUACUGCUGUGACUUGAGUCCGGGUAGGGGACCACGGAAUUCCUGGUGUAGCGGUGAAAUGACGCAGAUAUCAGGAGGAACACCAAUGGCGAAGGCAGCACCUCUGGGACGUGACUGACGCUGAAGACG
rnacentral:rRNA from 1 species